CGUUGCCUACGGGGGGCAGCAGUGGGGAAUAUUGGGCAAUGGGCGCAAGCCUGACCCAGCAACGCCGCGUGAAGGAAGAAGGCCCUCGGGUUGUAAACUUCUUUUAUCAAGGACGAAACAAAUGACGGUACUUGAUGAAUAAGCCACGGCUAACUACGUGCCAGCAGCCGCGGUAAUACGUAGGUGGCAAGCGUUAUCCGGAUUUACUGGGUGUAAAGGGCGAGUAGGCGGGAUUGCAAGUCAGAUGUGAAAACUAUGGGCUCAACCGAUAGAGUGCAUUUGAAACUGCAGUUCUUGAGUGAUGG
rnacentral:rRNA from 1 species